rnacentral:piRNA from 1 species
CUUUAAAAAGGAUUUGGGGUUCUGAAAAU